rnacentral:tRNA from 1 species
CUUCCUGUGGCUCAGUUGGUAAGAGCAUGGUGCAAGCAACUCCAGGGUUGUGGGUUCAAUUCCCAUGGGGAAUU